GUGUGCGUGUGUCAGCUAUGGUCUUUAUGGAGACUAACAUUCUGCUGCUGGAUUUUGCUGGAAGCCAGAUUCUGAAGAUGUGUGUAGAAAUCCUAUGGCUGGAAGAUUAAAAAAAAAUAAAUGAGGACAAAGCAGAAGAUUGGGAUGAGUGUGUGGAAGCUUAAAUUGCUGAACAUCUACACCAGCUGUCUUGAACUGGAGAGGAAAUUGCAAAGGUGAACUUUCUGCUUUGCGAGGAUGGGGACAAGCAGCCCGGUGCCACCUGGCGGCAGCAGGUAAUGUGCUUGCAGCAGAUCGCUUCGUGCCUUUGAACUGCUGGCUCUGAUUGAUCAAAGGCGGGUCCGAACCUCCCGCUGCAGGUUCAA